GACGAACGCUGGCGGCGUGCUUAACACAUGCAAGUCGAACGGAAAGGCCUGCUUUCCCUUGUGGAUUGCGGGUACUCGAGUGGCGAACGGGUGAGUAACACGUGAGUGAUCUGCCCCCAACUUGGGUAUAAGCCUGGGAAACUGGGUCUAAUUCCCGAUAGGACUGCAGGGUGGUGCCUGUGGUGGAAAACGAUUUUCUAGUGGUUGGGGAUGAGCUCGCGGCCUAUCAGCUUGUUGGUGGGGUAAUGGCCUACCAAGGCGGCGACGGGUAGCCGGCCUGAGAGGGUGGACGGCCACAUUGGGACUGAGAUACGGCCCAGACUCCUACGGGAGGCAGCAGUGGGGAAUAUUGCACAAUGGGCAGAAGCCUGAUGCAGCGACGCCGCGUGGGGGAUGACGGCCUUCGGGUUGUAAACUCCUUUCGACCGCGAGGAAGCCACCUGGUUGGAAGGGUGGUGACGGUAGUGGUAGAAGAAGCACCGGCUAACUACGUG
rnacentral:rRNA from 1 species